rnacentral:rRNA from 1 species
UGGGGAAUAUUGGACAAUGGGCGAAAGCCUGAUCCAGCCAUGCCGCGUGUGUGAAGAAGGUCUUCGGAUUGUAAAGCACUUUAAGUUGGGAGGAAGGGCAGUAAGCGAAUACCUUGCUGUUUUGACGUUACCGACAGAAUAAGCACCGGCUAACUCUGUGCCAGCAGCCGCGGUAAUACAGAGGGUGCAAGCGUUAAUCGGAAUUACUGGGCGUAAAGCGCGCGUAGGUGGUUCGUUAAGUUGAAUGUGAAAGCCCCGGGCUCAACCUGGGAACUGCAUCCAAAACUGGCGAGCUAGAGUAGGGCAGAGAGUGGUGGAAUUUCCUGUGUAGCGGAGAAAUGCGUAGAUAUAGGAAGGAACACCAGUGGCGAAGGCGACCAACUGGGCUCAUACUGACACUGAGGUGCGAAAGCGUGGGGAGCAAACAGG